GACGAACGCUGGCGGCGUGCUUAACACAUGCAAGUCGAACGAAGUGGCGAACGGGUGAGUAACGCGUAAUCAACCUGCCCUUUAGCGGGGGACAACCGUUGGAAACGACGGCUAAUACCGAAUACUGCAGGAGGGGAUUGCGUCUGAUUAGAUAGUUGGAGGGGUAACGGCCAACCAAGGCGAUGCUUAGUAGCCGGUCUGGGAGGGUGAACGGCCACAUUGGGACUGAGACACGUCCCAGACUCCUACGGGGGGCAGCCGUGGGGAAUCUUCCGCCAUGGACGAAAGUCUGACGGAGCAACGCCGCGUGAGUGAUGACGGCCUUCGGGUUGUAAAGCUCUGUUAAUCGGGACGCGGUACCGGAAUAGAAAGCCACGGCUAACUACGUGCCAGCAGCCGCGGUAAUUC
rnacentral:rRNA from 1 species